AAAGGGAAGGAAACACUGAGUCCAGACCAGGAGACAGUCAUCAGAGGUAAGAAGAGCAUAGAGCAGUAAGUAAAUUUCCUUGAAGAUAUAUUCAGAUCAGCUCCAGGUAUAUCAUAGGUAUACCCAUGUACAUAGGUUUUGAUGUAUGCAUGUAAUAAUAUGUAUAUAAAUUAUUUGAGCAGUUGUAUAGAAACUCUUGUAAAAUAUUUUGGUAUGUAAUUAAAUGUAAAUUAUUGUAAAUGUAAAUUUGAGAUUUCAUUUACUUGAA